GAGAAGAAACCCAAGCAAUUCAUAGUGGACAAGCUUCCAGAUGUUUAUUGUCAAGACUUCUGCUCAGGAUAGAAAGAAAACCUUAACUGUGCUAUGUCCUUCUGCACUGUAAGAAAAAGCCACUCUUCGUUCCUCGGGUCUUCCUACCUUGAUGGCCUCUGCGGUCUGGUCCAGAGAAGGAAGAUGGCGGGUUGGCUGUUCUGUUUCUCUGGGAUACCUGGACUGAAACUCCAGGCUAAACUACUGCUGACGCCUUUCUGAUCCUGGACGUUAGGUUCCAGUCCCUCUGGAAAGAGACGUCCAGUUUGGGAUUAGUUUUCUUCUACACGCAGGAUGGAUGGCGUUGAGAAGGUACCAGGAACAGGCUCUGCGUGAGAAAUCCCGUUCUUACACACACAUGCUCUAUAUCCAGAUGCAAUCUUUUAAUUAAUCAUAGGAGCUCAGAGCGCUCAGCUGCAUUUUAAUGCUUUUAAAGUACGUUCAGUGGGGGAAAAAAAGCUUCGUUUUUUGAAAUCAAUGGUUAUUAUACUGUUUCUUAACAGAAACCUUUCAAGUCAGGAUGUCUUAAAGAGUGCAUUUGGAGAGGGGGGGGUGCUGUGAAAGUUUCCUUUUAAUGCUAUAAAUCUUGUGAUUACAUUGGGUGCCCUCAGAUAAUCCAGAUAAGUCCUCUAUCACAGAGUUCACAGCAUGUUCACAUCUGCAAAGUCAUUUUGCCUUAUAAGGUAGCAUAUUUACAGCCUUUGAAGACUAGCGCUGGAUUCUUUCUGAACCAUUAUUCAACCUACCACAGUGUACUUCUGACCACCAAAGAUUUAUUUCCCUUUCUCACGCAGGAUAUAUUCAUCCCCUCCUACUUGCCUCUGAAAGGCUCAACCC
rnacentral:lncRNA from 1 species